GAAAGGGUGUUUUCAGUUCCCUUUCCAUUUUGGCCAUGUCUGUGCACUGUGAAUAUUUGGGUUGUUGACAUUCUGGCUGACAGCCAUAAUAUGAGGGAUCAGUGAAAGUUAACUACAUUUGUUUGGUAUUCCUGAUUCUUUCUUUAGGUGGGACAGUUAAUGUCAAUAACAUGGAAAAUGUUCUCGAAAAUUUGAAGAUCAAGCUGUCAGAUGAGAAAGUAAAAGAACUGUCAGAAAACCUUCCAGCUGACUCUUCUGGGAUGACCAAUUUUCAGACAAUGCUGAAAGAAAUAAGAAAAUUGACUGGUAAGCCAGACAUUUCGUAAAAGAUACUACACAAGAGCUUCACGCUUACAUACAUUUUUU
rnacentral:lncRNA from 1 species